rnacentral:rRNA from 1 species
CAGCCGCCGCGGGAAUACGUAGGUGGCAAGCGUUGUCCGGAAUUAUUGGGCGUAAAGGGCUCGCAGGCGGUUUCUUAAGUCUGAUGUGAAAGCCCCCGGCUCAACCGGGGAGGGUCACUGGAAACUGGGAAACUUGAGUGCAGAAGAGGAGAGUGGAAUUCCACGUGUAGCGGUGAAAUGCGUAGAGAUGUGGUGGAACACCAGUGGCGAAGGCGACUCUCUGGUCUGUAACUGACGCUGAGGAGCGAAAGCGUGGGGAGCGAACAGGAUUAGAUACCCGUGUGUCCUGUCUCUUAUACAC